rfam:Candidatus Nanosalinarum sp. J07AB56 genomic scaffold scf_7180000039101, whole genome shotgun sequence.
GGACCGGUAGCUUAGCCAGGUUAGAGCGCCACGCUGAUAACGUGGAGAUCGCCAGUUCAAAUCUGGCCCGGUCNN